rnacentral:rRNA from 1 species
ACGGAGGGGGCAAGCGUUGCUCGGAAUUACUGGGCGUAAAGGGUCCGCAGGCUGUCGGACAAGUUGGGUGUGAAAGCUCAAGGCUUAACCUUGGAAUUGCAUCCAAAACUGUCUGACUAGAGUACGAGAGAGGUUGGCGGAAUUCCCGGUGUAGCGGUGAAAUGCAUAGAUAUCGGGAGGAACACCAGAGGCGAAGGCGGCCAACUGGCUCGGCACUGACGCUCAGGGACGAAAGCGUGGGUAGCAAACCGG